rnacentral:rRNA from 1 species
AUUGAACGCUGGCGGCAGGCCUAACACAUGCAAGUCGAGCGGAUGAAGGGAGCUUGCUCCUGGAUUCAGCAGCGGACGGGUGAGUAAUGCCUAGGAAUCUGCCUGGUUGUGGGGGAUAACGUCCGGAAACGGGCGCUAAUACCGCACACGUCCUGAGGGAGAAAGUGGGGGAUCUUCGGACCUCACGCUAUCAGAUGAGCCUAGGUCGGAUUAGCUAGUUGGUGGGGUAAAGGCCUACCAAGGCGACGAUCCGUAACUGGUCUGAGAGGAUGAUCAGUCACACUGGAACUGAGACACGGUCCAGACUCCUACGGGAGGCAGCAGUGGGGAAUAUUGGACAAUGGGCGAAAGCCUGAUCCAGCCAUGCCGCGUGUGUGAAGAAGGUCUUCGGAUUGUAAAGCACUUUAAGUUGGGAGGAAGGGCAGUAAGUUAAUACCUUGCUGUUUUGACGUUACCAACAGAAUAAGCACCGGCUAACUUCGUG